rnacentral:ncRNA from 16 species
GCGGAUGAUGAUGAAUCAAACCUGAUUGAUGAAGAGCCCUAUGAGCGCUGACG